rnacentral:rRNA from 1 species
GAUGAACGCUGGCGGCGUGCCUAACACAUGCAAGUCGAACGGAGUCCAGCCUUUAAGACCUUCGGGUCAAAGAGGGGAAGCCUGAGUGGCGGACGGGUGACUAACACGUGGGCUACCUGGCUCAUAGAGGGGGAUAACAGAGAGAAAUUUCUGCUAAUACCGAAUAAGCACACCCUGCCGCAUGCCAGAGGGUGAAAAGAGAAUCGCUAUGAGAUGGACCCGCGUCUGAUUAGCCAGUUGGCAGGGUAAGAGCCUACCAAAGCGACGAUCAGUAGCCGGUCUGAGAGGAUGAACGGCCACAUUUGGACUGAGACACAGCCCGAACUCUUACGGGAGGCAGCAGAGGGGGAUAUUGCAAAACGGGGUGAACGCUGAAGCAGCUACGCCGCGUGAGUGAAGAAGCAGGGAGGUAUGUAAAGCUCUAUCAGCAGGGAAGAUAAUGACAGUACCUGAAGAAGAAGCCCCGGCUAACUACGUG